rnacentral:rRNA from 1 species
GACGAACGCUGGCGGCGUGCUUAACACAUGCAAGUCGAACGAAGAGCGAUGGAAGCUUGCUCCUCUCAAUCUUAGUGGCGAACGGGUGAGUAACGCGUAAUCAACCUGCCCUUCAGAGGGGGACAACAGUUGGAAACGACUGCUAAUACCGCAUACGAUCUAAUCUCGGCAUCGAGGAUAGAUGAAAGGUGGCCUCUACAUGUAAGCUAUCACUGAAGGAGGGGAUUGCGUCUGAUUAGCUAGUUGGAGGGGUAACGGCCCACCAAGGCGAUGAUCAGUAGCCGGUCUGAGAGGAUGAACGGCCACAUUGGGACUGAGACACGGCCCAGACUCCUACGGGAGGCAGCAGUGGGGAAUCUUCCGCAAUGGACGAAAGUCUGACGGAGCAACGCCGCGUGAGUGAUGACGGCCUUCGGGUUGUAAAGCUCUGUUAAUCGGGACGAAAGGCCUUCUUGCGAAUAGUGAGAAGGAUUGACGGUACCGGAAUAGAAAGCCACGGCUAACUACGUG